rnacentral:rRNA from 1 species
UACGUAGGGUGCAAGCGUUAAUCGGAAUUACUGGGCGUAAAGCGUGCGCAGGCGGUGAUGUAAGACAGAUGUGAAAGCCCCGGGCUCAACCUGGGAAUUGCAUUCGAGACUGAAUAGCUAGGGUACGGUAGAGGGAAGUGGAAUUUCCGGUGUAGCGGUGAAAUGCGUAGAUAUCGGAAGGAACAUCAGUGGCGAAAGCGACUUCCUGGACCAGUACCGACGUUCAGGCACGAAAGCGUGGGGAGCAAACAGG